rnacentral:rRNA from 1 species
GAUGAACGCUGGCGGCGUGCCUAAUACAUGCAAGUCGAGCGGCAGCACGGUCUUCGGACUGGUGGCGAGCGGCGGACGGCAGAGUAACGCGUAGGAAUAUACCCCAAAGUGAGGGAUAAGCUCCAGAAAUGGAGUCUAAUACCGCAUAUGGUCUUCGGAUUAAAGCCUUCGGGCGCUAUGGGAAUAGCCUGCGUUCGAUUAGCUAGUUGGUGAGGUAAUGGCUCACCAAGGCGACGAUCGAUAGCUGGUCUGAGAGGAUGAUCAGCCUGACUGGAACUGAGAUACGGUCCAGACUCCUACGGGAGGCAGCAGUAGGGAAUUUCCACAAUGGGCGAAAGCCUGAUGGAGCAACGCCGCGUGCAGGAUGAAGGCCUUCGGGUCGUAAACUGCUUUAUGUGGAAGAAUAUAGACGGUAACACAUGAAUAAGGGUCGGCUAACUACGUGCCAGCAGCCGACGGUAAAAGUACUCUAUCUA